UCCAAUUUGAUUGGAAAAACUGUGAGAGUUCAAAUUAGAGAUUGAGGAUUCGAAUGGACACAAAAGAUUUGCCAAAACAUGAAUCAAAAAAAUUGAACAGAUUCAACAAUAUCCGCCUGUAUCGUGAGCUAGGGUUGGCUACAUAAAAUGCUAGGAGUGUCCAAUUUGUUUGGAAAAUGUAUGAGAAUUCAAAUUAGAGAUUCUGGAUUCG
rnacentral:lncRNA from 1 species